AGACGGUGCAGGAGAGCAUGAGUGUUCCUCCUGAAGGCAGGCGGUGGAUGCUCCCCCUGACACUGCUUGUCAUCUUUCUUCUCUCUGACAUCAAGGCCUAGCGUGAAGGAGUGACACAUAGAAAAUAAAACCAUGCAAAGGGGUUGACUGAAGAGGAGGAAGGAAACAUGAGGAGGAAAGAAAAAAAAGCAUGGAAUUGGAAAAGAUAAAGUAAAAUGAAUUUUUAGGAUGCCACCGUUUCAUCCUUCUGAAUUUUUUGAGCAUUUGAGACUAUUGACCAGAGGUAUCUACAGAGGAAGUGCGGUAUAAUGGAGAGUGAGCUGGAUGUGGAGUUAGGAUAAAUCUAGGUUUGAAUCCUGUUUCAUGUAUUUCUAGGAGGAAGUGGUGAGCAUCAACAAGAUCCUUGGGAGAGAGUGUGCUGAAAUCACUCAACGAGCUUUUAUUAAGAUGUCAUAUGAAAUCUCAUCUUGAUCUGUGGGUAUAGAAAGGCAGACCAUGUUACCCCUAUCUAGAUUGAAUGCAAACACAUGGGAAAAGCAGCAGACUUCUUUUGAGGCGAGAAGAUGGGAGGCACUCUAGAGAACCUGUAUCUUCAGCUUUGAGAACUGAAUUCCAUGGGUUGUCUUUGUAUCAGACCUAUGAAACUCAGUUCUUCAGCUGGGAUAUCUCUGCCGUCACCGACAAAGGGUGAAAUAUGAAGCCUGGAACAUGAUUCUUCGGGAUCUUGGCAGAUCAGAAGCAAGGAGACAGAUUCUACAGGAACAAGCAUUGGAGAACAUUUUCUAAUGGAAAGAAUCAUGAACUAAGAGUCAAGAGUCCUGGUCCUGUAUUUGGCUACAUCAUGAACUGGCAGUAUGAUCUCAGGCAUGGCAUUUAAAUUGUUUGUAUUUUAAUUUUCUCACCUGUGAAAUGAAAACAGACCUUCACUUAAGUGUUACUCUAAUGCCUUAUUGGAGUAUGGAGAUAAUUCUAGGUUCUCAAAAGCAAUACCAGUGGAGGACAAGUUUUGGGAAAUCUAUGACUUGGAAAGACUUGAGUUUGAACCCAAUGACAGACUGUAUGGGUUGACUGAGGACCAGGCUAACUAAGCAUGUAGUUUUCUCACCAGAAUGUUGACAACCAAGUAAUGACUUUUUUUGCCCAGCACAACUCAUUCUAUUUACAAAAGUAUAGGGGAGUGGUGAAGAAAUAACAAUCUGUAUUGGUAAAGGGAGUGUCCUCAAUGAUGAUAUCAUAGAUCUUCUGAAAUAUAGAAGUGUUACACCAGAGUAUUAUGAAGAACAAAUAGGAUAAUGCAGAUGAAAGUUCUUUGAAAUGAAUAAAAUAUUAUACAAAAGCAA